rnacentral:rRNA from 1 species
CUACGGGGGGCAGCAGUGGGGAAUAUUGGACAAUGGGGGAAACCCUGAUCCAGCAAUGCCGCGUGUGUGAAGAAGGCCUGCGGGUUGUAAAGCACUUUCGGUUGGGAGGACUGCUUCUAGCACUAAUAUUGUUGGAAGUUGACGUUACCUUCAGAAGAAGCACCGGCUAACUCCGUGCCAGCAGCCGCGGUAAUACGGAGGGUGCAAGCGUUAAUCGGAAUUACUGGGCGUAAAGCGCGCGUAGGCGGCUAGAUCAGUCGGGUGUGAAAGCCCCGGGCUUAACCUGGGAACUGCAUCCGAUAAUGGGGAGCGUGAGGAUGGGAGGGGAGGGGGGAAUUCCACAGGUAGCGGGGAAAUUCGUAGAUAUGAGGAGGAACAUGAAUGGCGAAGGCACCUGUCUGGGGUGACACUGACGCUGAGGGGCGAAAGCGUGGGGAGCAAACAGGAUUAGAUACCCGCGUAGUC